rnacentral:rRNA from 1 species
CACGUAGGGGGCAAGCGUUGUCCGGAAUCAUUGGGCGUAAAGAGCUCGUAGGCGGCUCAGUAAGUCGGGUGUGAAACCCUCAGGCUCAACCUGGGGACGCCACCCGAUACUGCUGUGGCUAGAGUCCAGUAGGGGAGUGUGGAAUUCCCGGUGUAGCGGUGAAAUGCGCAGAUAUCGGGAGGAACACCAGCGGCGAAGGCGGCACUCUGGGCUGGAACUGACGCUGAGGAGCGAAAGCGUGGGUAGCAAACAGG